GCCCGGUUAGCUCAAUCGGUAGAGCGUGAGACUCUUACUAUCCACAUAGUAAUCUCAAGGUUGCGGGUAAGUUCUUGAUGCAUUCCGCACAAUCUACAUUGCAUAUAACUAACACCUUACCAAAGGUUCGACCCCCGCAUCGGGCU